rnacentral:rRNA from 1 species
CAGUAGCCGCGGUAAUACGGAAGGUCCAGGCGUUAUCCGGAUUUAUUGGGUUUAAAGGGAGUGUAGGCGGUCUGUUAAGCGUGUUGUGAAAUUUAGGUGCUCAACAUUUAACUUGCAGCGCGAACUGGCGGACUUGAGUGCACGCAACGUAUGCGGAAUUCAUGGUGUAGCGGUGAAAUGCUUAGAUAUCAUGACGAACUCCGAUUGCGAAGGCAGCGUACGGGAGUGUUACUGACGCUUAAGCUCGAAGGUGCGGGUAUCGAACAGGAUUAGAUACCCCUGUAGUCCCUGUUUCUUAUAC